rnacentral:rRNA from 1 species
GAUGAACGCUGGCGGCGUGCCUAAUACAUGCAAGUCGAGCGCAUAGACGAGGAGCUUGCUCCUCUGACUUUACUGGCGGACGGUUGAGUAACAAGUAGUUAACCUACCUAUAAGACCGGGAUAACUUCGGGAAUCUGAGGCUAAUACCGCAUAAUAUAUCGAAUCGCAUGGUUCAAUAGUGCUAGACGGCUUUUCUGUCAUAUUUAGAUGGAUCCGCGCCGCAUUAGCUAGUUGGUAAGGUAACGGCUUACCAAGGCAACGAUGCGUAGCCGACCUGAGAGGGUGAUCGGCCACACUGGAACUGAGACACGGUCCAGACUCCUACGGGAGGCAGCAGUAGGGAAUCUUCCGCAAUGGGCGAAAGCCUGACGGAGCAACGCCGCGUGAGUGAUGAAGGUCUUCGGAUCGUAAAACUCUGUUAUUAGAGAAGAACAAAUGUGUGAGUAACUAUGCACGUCUUGACGGUACCUAAUCAGAAAGCCACGGCUAACUACGUG